rnacentral:lncRNA from 1 species
GAAUAGAACAUUAAUAACCCGUGCACUCAUUUUUCCCCAAUUUGAGCUCUCCCAAAACAACUCCCUCUCGGUUAGUGCCUCACCCACCAUCCGGCCGCACCUCCGAUCACAAUAUAAGCACUGGAGAACACCGCUGUAGCCCGACCUCCUGAAGAACACCUGCAUUUCCCCCAAUUUGUUCUCUCACAAAACCCUCUCGAAGCUAAGCCACAUCCACCAUCCUCCUCGGCGGCAUCGUACCUCCGGUCAUAAUAUGAACACCGAAAAUCAUUACACCACUUACUGCGGUUGAAGGCUCGAGAAAUGGGAGCUUGGUGGGGUUGAUUUCGGCUUAACUGCGAUCUACAUUACUCUGCUGGUCAGUGUGAAAACCAUUACACGACUUACUGCGGUUGACCGCUCGAGAAAUGGGAGCUCGAUGGGGUUGAUUUCGACUUAACUAUGGUCUGCAUUACUCUAUGGUUCAGGUUAACUCUGUGACCUCCGGCUAGCAUAUUCAUUACAAAAGUCAGAGAUUAGAAGCACGCAAUUAUAUGUAAGCUUCUGGCACAUCCUUUUGACGCUUGUCAUUUUUAGUAUUUGGUUUAUAAUUAAGUUUUUUAGUUGUGUUUAAGAAAUUAUUUAAUACUCCUUCUACGUUAAAUCAUUUUUACCUGUGAGAGCUAUUGAUAUUUCCAUUAGAGAUUUACAACAUUAUAUUGUGUUUUCUAUGCUUGAGUUGAUUUUUUAAGAUCAAUAUCGUACUUUUGUGUUGGAAAACAUGAAUUUCUGCAGGUCACUGACUUGUUAGAACGUAUGGGUAAAUUAUUAGGUAUACAUGAAAUGCAUAAUUAACUAAUUUUAAAUUGAAGUCAAUUAAUCAAUAGUUUGAUAGUUCGUAAGACAGUUAGAAUCGAUACAACUAAAUAGUUGGGGUAUAAUUAGUUCUAAAUAUUAGUUAUAUUUAUGACCUCCGUCGUCGAUCAGCAAAUACAAUGCAUUAAAUGUCAUUGUGAAGAAACUGUCACUUGUUUUCAUUUUACCCCUUAUUUUGUGCAUGGUGCAAUGUAAAUGGUUUAUGCUUCGAUAAGCGCUACUACUUAUUUUGUCGCAGUGGAAGAGAUUAUGGAAGACGUGUAUGAUGAAUUGUUGGUGGAGUCCGAUAAUGAGAGCGCUGCAAAUAAUAUGAAUAGGGUUGAAAAUGAAACAACAGGACAAAAUGGUACGAUUGUAGCGGAGAUGGGUAUGAUGUUCAACGAAACAGACAUGUUUGAGAUGUACAAGAGAUAUGCUUAUGAUAUAGGUUUUCCCGUCAGAAGAUGGAACUCAAAAAAAGGGGAUGAUGGCGUUCUGAGAUAUGUAACUUUCACAUGCAGUCGUGAAGGCAGAAGAAGUAGUAAUGCAAGUGGGUCUUUAAAGCCUAAACCAAUCAGUCAAACUCACUGUAAAGCAAGGACCUCAUCCUCCUCAGACAGUCAUGGAAGGUGGAGAAUUAACACAGUCCACCUCGAUCACAACCAUGAAACUAGUCCUUCUAAAUCUAGGUUGUAUCGAUGCAAUAGGGAGUUGAGUGCAAAUGUGAAACGUAAACUUGAAGUGAAUGAUGUAGCAGGAUUUCCGUUACAUAAAAGUUACAACUCUGCAGUUGUGGAAGUAGGUGGAUAUGAGAACAUAAUGUGUAUAGAGCAGGACUGCAUAAACUAUAUUAAACAAGUUAGACGUUCACGACUUGGAGAGGGGACGUAACUGCAAUACAGUCCUACUUUUCGAAAAUGCAAAGUGCUUGGGAUUUUACUUCAGCAUUGAUUUAGAUGACGUGUUUCAACUAAAGAAUGUUUUCUGCGCGGAUAAUAGGCGUAGGCAAGAGUAUAAAGAGUUCGGAGAUGUUAUGACAUUUGAUACCACUUAUCUCACUAACAAGUACAAUAUGCCGUUUGCCCAUUUCGUUGGAGUGAAUCGUCAUGGCCAGUCAAUAUUGUUUGGUUGUGGUUUGUUAGCUAAUGAGGACACGGAUACGUUUGUCUAGCUAUUCAGGAUGUGGCUUGAGUGCAUUCAUGGACAAGCUCCGAAUGUAAUAGUUACUGGUUAGGAUCGGGCCAUGCAAAACGCAAUUGGGAUCAUUUUCCCAUGCACGAGACAUAGAUGGUGUCUAUGACACAUUUUGAAGAAGUUGCCGAAGAAGUUUGGAUAUCAUGUUGACAAAGGCAGGAUAUUUUCGACUUUCCAUAAUGUGUUUUACGAUUCACGAACUGUUGAAGAAUUUGAAGAAGGAUGGCAACAGACGAUCGAUACAUAUGACUUGCAUGAAAAUGAUUGGUUGUCAGAAUUGUAUCAUAAUAGAGAUCGUUGGGUUCCUUCUUAAGAACCACAUUAUGGGUAUGAAUGUCCACAACUCAACGAAGUGAGAGUAUGAACACGUUCUUCGAUGGGUAUGUGCAUUCGAAGACCUCGUUGAAGCAAUUUGUAGAGUAGUACGAAAUAGCAUUGAGAAGUAAAGUGGAGAAGGAGUUCCACGCUAAUUUCAGGUCAUACUCCCAAAUGGUGCCCUAUGCAACGAAUUAUGAAAUUGAGAAGCAUUUCCAAUCAGUUUAUACCAUUUCAAAGUUCAGAGAAGUGCAAGAUAGUUCAAGGGAAUGUUUUACUAUCCUCGUUUCUUCUUUUGAGGGAUGUUCGGGGACGACAUAUGAGGUGGGUAAGGAUGUGAUGUAUCACGAGCACCGGAGGAAAAAUAAAAUUUUGCCUCAUUUGAUAUGGAGCAGCGUGAAAUAAUUUGCAGUUGCCACUUAUUCGAGUUCAGGGAAUUAUUUGCAGACAUGCAAUUACGGUAUUGAUUCGAGACGACAUCACACAAUUGCCCGAGAAGUACACACUACGGAAAUGGAGGAGAGAUGUCACUAGAGCAUACACGAGAGUUGUAGUGCACUACGAUGGUUAGCUCAGUACUCCAGGACAGUUGAGAUAUGACAAGAUGUGUAAGGCCUUUUCGCAAGUGGCUUAUCUUGCUACAGAUGACUAAGUCCAGACACAUGCUAUAAUGGACUGGAUAAAAUCUCAAGCUACGGAGCUUAUGUCAACAAAGUUGUGUUCUGGAAAUAGUAUCAUUUCGUAGCAUAUUCUUCAUUUAGCCUCACCAUAUAUUGAUGCGCAAACUACCGGUAGCCAGGGCAUACGGGAUUCGAAAUUAACAAAGCAAAAAGGCACACCAUGAAAGCUUCAAAAAGAAGUCCAUUGGAGUCUACGUCAAAGAAAUCAGGGGUAAUGUAGUAUGUUAGCAUCUCAUUUCUAGUACAAUCUAAAUCUAGUUUCGGGUUUAUAUGUAGGAAACUUCGAAAUCGAAUAAAGGAAAGGGACAGAGAGCUAGACAAAGUAAUAUAGAAGAGGUAGUUCCUAAAAUUAUGGCUUCUGAACAACAAUAUUCCACAUAGAUACCUUUCUCAUAUUCACAACUCUUAUUAGUUAGCACCUUCUGUUUGUUUUGAUUACUAGGUUGCACUUUUAUUAACGCUGUUGUGUGAUGCAGGGCGACACCCAAAGUCAAACAUUUACAGAAGACUUGCCGUCAUCGAAUUGGAUCUCGCCAUAGUCAACGAAUGUUGAUCUCAAUGCCGAAGGUGAAUACAAUAUUUAAAUCCUCAUUGCAUUAAACACAUUUGUAUUGUGUUUGGUUACUUAUUUCCAUAUUGUCCAAAAUACGAUAGGUCAUUCGUUUUCAUACUUCCAUCCGCAUUUACAGCAUCUAGAUGACCUAAAGUGAUAAAUUGGAGGAUUGCAGCUCCGACAUUAACAAGGUAGGCCGUUCGUAUCGUAAGUUUUCUCAAAUUUGGGAUUUCUAGUUUUUACUUCGAAUAACAUUGGAAGAAAGUUUACUUCUUCUUGCAUUGGAAUUCUUUAUUUCAUUUCAUUUGCAAUAACUUCCUUCUAUACAGCUAUAGAAUAAAUGCCUCACUGUGAGGGAUGUUUUCUUCUUUUUGCUAUUUUAUAUUUAGUUAAUAUACAUUUUUGCUUUUGGCUAUGAAGAUAGGGUGAAAAUAUAAUGUAACUAUGUGCUUUGUCAAUUUAGUACCAGUUUAAUGUGUUGAUGCAUUUAAGAGGCGGCUAUAUCUUUUUAUGCGUAUGACAUUGUAGCUGGUUUCUUGUCUAAUAUGUUUGUUUAUUUUAUAACCAACUCACAGAAUGAUUAGCAAUUGCAAUCUGGAAGGUUAAUCAGAAGGAGAAGCUAAGCCUCGUGAACGGAGAGAUGUAUAUAUUGUACACGUAACAAGGAUGCAUAUAUUAGUCAGAUAUCGUAUUUUGAUUCAGGAAAUGCGUUCUUCCCUGCUUAUUUUUGGAGUCCAUCACUCAUGAACAUAGCAAUUCAGUAUGCUACUUUACACAUGCAAGACUUGAGUGGCUGAUUGUAUAAGCAUGUUUUUGUUCUUACUGCAUUGCAUGUGUAGUUUCUUAAACAUUGAAUUGGUGGAUGAAUUUGUAGUCGUCAUAUAGAGCAAAUGAGCUUUGUUUUUAUUUUUUAAGUACAUUGGCAUAAAUUAAAUGAAAUGUAGCUUGUUCUUUGGAGUAUUUUGG